rnacentral:rRNA from 1 species
GAUGAACGCUGGCGGCGUGCCUAAUACAUGCAAGUCGAGCGAACGGACGAGAAGCUUGCUUCUCUGAUGUUAGCGGCGGACGGGUGAGUAACACGUGGAUAACCUACCUAUAAGACUGGGAUAACUUCGGGAAACCGGAGCUAAUACCGGAUGAUAUUUUGAACCGCAUGGUUCAAAAGUGAAAUACGGUCUUGCUGUCACUUAUAGAUGGAUCCGCGCUGCAUUAGCUAGUUGGUAAGGUAACGGCCUACCAAGGCAACGAUGCAUAGCCGACCUGAGAGGGUGAUAGGCCGCACGGGAACGGAGACACGGUCCAGACGCCUACGGGAGGCAGCAGUAGGGAAUCUUCCGCAGUGGGCGAAAGCCUGGCGGAGCGACGGCGAGUGAGUGAUGAAGGUCUUCGGAUCGUAAAACUCUGUUAUUAGGGAAGAACAUAUGUGUAAGUAACUGUGCACAUCUUGACGGUACCUAAUCAGAAAGCCACGGCUAACUACGUG